rnacentral:tRNA from 1 species
GAAGGGAUGGUCAGUGGUGGAGCAUUGACUGCUCAUCGAGUGGUCCCCGGUUCAAAUCCGGGGUCUUCUUCA